UCCGGUUUAACACCGGCGGUCCCUCUAGAGUGCUCAACUUAAUGGUCGCAACUAGAGGCAAGGGUUGCGCUCGUUGACGGACUUAACCGAACAUCCUACGACACGAGCUGACGACAGCCAUGCAGCACCUGUGUGCACGUCCCCGAAGGGAAAACUACAUCUCUGUAGUCGUCGUACCAUGUCAAACCCAGGUAAGGUUCUGCGCGUUGCGUCGAAUUGAACCACAUACUCCACCGCUUGUGCGGGCCCCCGUCAAUUUCUUUGAGUUUUAGUGUUGCCACCGUACUUCCCAGGCGGAAAACUUAAUGCGUUAGCUUUGGUACUCAGGGGGUUAAUGCCCCGAACACCUAGUUUUCAUCGUUUAAGGCAUGGACUAC
rnacentral:misc_RNA from 1 species